CCUACGGGAGGCAGCAGUAGGGAAUUUUCGGCAAUGGGGGGAACCCUGACCGAGCAACGCCGCGUGAACGAAGAAGUUCUUCGUAACGUAAAGUUCUUUUAACAGGGAAGAACGAGAAAUUUGACGGUACCUGAAGAAUAAGCUCCGGCUAACUACGUGCCAGCAGCCGCGGUAAUACGUAGGGAGCGAGCGUUAUCCGGAAUUAUUGGGCGUAAAGGGUGCGUUGAUGGCAUAGUACGUAUUUUGUAAAAAUGCUGGGCUAAACCCAGUAGGGCAAAAGAUACUGCAAAGCUAGAGUAUGACAGAGGCAAGUGGAACGACAUGUGUAGCGGUAAAAUGCGUAGAUAUAUGUAAGAACACCAGUGGCGAAGGCGGCUUGCUGGGUCGAUACUGACAUUGAGGCACGAAAGCGUGGGGAGCAAACAGGAUUAGAUACCCUUGUAGUC
rnacentral:rRNA from 1 species